rnacentral:rRNA from 1 species
GAUGAACGCUGGCGGCGUGCCUAAUACAUGCAAGUCGAGCGAACAGACGAGAAGCUUGCUCCUCUGACGUUAGCGGCGGACGGGUGAGUAACACGUGGAUAACCUACCUAUAAGACUGGGAUAACUUCGGGAAACCGGAGCUAAUACCGGAUAAUAUAUUGAACCGCAUGGUUCAAUAGUGAAAGACGGUCUUGCUGUCACUUAUAGAUGGAUCCGCGCUGCAUUAGCUAGUUGGUAAGGUAACGGCUUACCAAGGCGACGAUGCGUAGCCGACCUGAGAGGGUGAUCGGCCACACUGGAACUGAGACACGGUCCAGACUCCUACGGGAGGCAGCAGUAGGGAAUCUUCCGCAAUGGGCGAAAGCCUGACGGAGCAACGCCGCGUGAGUGAUGAAGGUCUUCGGAUCGUAAAACUCUGUUAUUAGGGAAGAACAAAUGUGUAAGUAACUAUGCACGUCUUGACGGUACCUAAUCAGAAAGCCACGGCUAACUACGUG